rnacentral:lncRNA from 1 species
UAUCACAUUUUCUGUAUUAUUCCAGAUUUUUUCAUAAAGAGAUUUUCUCACCACUGAGUUAAAAAGGAUUUACUUUUUAUGCUCAGAUCUUCAAUCAAAUGGCAUUCACUAUGGAUUAUGGUAUUCAGAUGGAUACUGAGCUUGGAGCAUUCAACCCAGUUUUCAGCAUGAAAUUGCACCUGUCAUUCAUCAUGGUUCACAAGCAAAAGCUAGCUCAACACAAAAGCUACCAUACAUUACUGUCCACCCUGUUUUAUCUCUCCUUAUGGUGGAAAAGACGUCUCUUUGUCCCGACCAGCAAUUAGAAGACAGAGGAUUUAGAGAACAAGGUAAAUUAAACCAGGGUCAUCAUAGUAGUAAUGAAAUCCUCUGGGUGUUAGAGGUCCACAGAACCAACUAUGGUUUUCAUUAAAUUGGGUUCUAAGAUAAUCUACUGAGGGAUACUUUCCCAUAUUUUUCCCUCUGGAAAAUAUGCCUAUGUAAGUACUGUAUUUCCCUAAAAUAAUGGGUUCUCCUCUGUGAUUGUGGGUUUAUGAGUGGGAAGACCAAGAUAAAAAAUAAAAAAUAAGUUUGACUAGGUGAGUCA